CUCAAAUCCUGGCUACGCCCCUGGAGCACAUCCAUUGGAGUGGUCCUACUAGCUAGCACGGUGCACUGGACACAAUGGACCAACACUCUAACUCAGGGGAAAGGUACAGGGACACCUCAACGAAUUGUGUAACUCUGAUGUCACUCAGUCCAGUGUCUGCUGUGUCAGCAAGUACCGUUUCAGCUCAGGUGACAACUACCUAUACUGUAUAAUCAUGAUUAGGUGAUAAUGCCUCUCAAUGUGUUGCCCCCCUCCCUUCACUAGUUACAUAAUUUAUUAUACUCAUUUUAGAGUAUAAAGUAUCAUCCAAUAGCUCUAUCCAAUAGUUGAUGAUACCGUAGAGCUAGAAAUAAAUGAUGAUUAAUGCUAUUUUUGCGAGCGUAUUUUUGUAUUUCAAGGCCUGUACAAUCCAUUGAAAUCACGGUUAUUCAAAAUUACAAAGCAUGCUCACAUAAUUAUAAUUAUUUCCAUUGAUUUUGAUUCAGAUUGAGAACAUACUCCAUGACUCUGUGCACGACACGCAAACUGCAACAAGUCACAAACGUGGGAGGAAGGGGAUCUUUUAGCCUCGAUCUCAGGCCGCACUGAAGAUGAGGUUGAUGAGGCCAUACCACUAUCUAUGACGAGGCCUAGCAUAUGCCAUUACCUACUCAGCGUGAAUGUGAUCUGCUGCCAGCAUGUGCCAGUCCAGUGGCUGUGCUAUAGGAUAAGAAUGGAUGAAUGCAUGAAAGGAUGGAGGCACUGGGUGUACUACUGUUCAAGCUGUGCUUCAUGGAUACUCCAUUUGGUGACAACCCUCUAGCCAUAGUCAGUGCUCAGUACAGCAUUCCUGAAGACUCUCCUUAGACUCUCCUUACACACAAGACCUGCACAACUU